GAUGAUGGUGGGGUUGCUGAAGGAGGGGUGGCGGGAGGUGGGGAGGCAGCUGGAGGAGGAGUAGACGGGGGCGGAACAGCCGGGGUGGUGGGCGGCUGAGCGGGAGCAGCGCCAGGAGCCUGAGCCAUAGAAGAAGUAGCCAAGCAGGCCAAAAGCAUCAGAAAUUGAAUACCCAUCUUCAUUUUCUCCACCAAACAAAAGAUAAGAGAGAAAAUUAGAGAAAGUUUGAGUGGGCAGUUGAAAUGAAAAGCAAUAGCGGAGAUAUAUAUAUAUACACAACAAGAACAAGAACAAAAA